rnacentral:sRNA from 1 species
CAGGGUGCUGGCCUGGCUCACAGGCAUGCCUCCUUCUGGGACCUCCUCCACCCCCUACAGUUUGGCGCUCAGUAAUCUCUUGUUUUCUUGUCUCCCUCAGGACACUGGGUCCCCUAGGAGCCUCCCCAGGCUUAAUGAUUGUCCAGAAGGUGGCUAUAAAGGGAGCUUGGGAGGCAGGGUGGAGGAGGGAGCAGAAAAAACCCAACUCAGCAGAUCUGGAAACUGUGAGAGCGGCAAGCAGGAGCUGUGGUCAGAGGCUGUGCGUCUUGGCUGGUAGGGCCUGCUCUUUUCUACCAUGGCAGCCCAGGGCUAUGGCUAUUAUCGCACUGUGAUCUUCUCAGCCAUGUUUGGGGGCUACAGCCUGUAUUACUUCAAUCGCAAGACCUUCUCCUUUGUCAUGCCAUCAUUGGUGGAAGAGAUCCCUUUGGACAAGGAUGAUUUGGGGCUCAUCACCAGCAGCCAGUCGGCAGCUUAUGCUAUCAGCAAGUUUGUCAGUGGGGUGCUGUCUGACCAGAUGAGUGCUCGCUGGCUCUUCUCUUCUGGGCUGCUCCUGGUUGGCCUGGUCAACAUAUUCUUUUCCUGGAGCUCCACAGUACCUGUCUUUGCUGCCCUCUGGUUCCUUAAUGGCCUGGCCCAGGGGCUGGGCUGGCCCCCAUGUGGGAAGGUCCUGCGGAAGGUGAGUGCUUCCAAAGAGCCUGUUUGGAUUGUCAUAGAGGAUGCCUAAAGAGCAUGUGGGAGCGCCCCUUCUUACCCACCACCUCCACACCGAACCCAGAGCAGGUUCCUGAGCGGUUCCUGGCCAGCUCCUAUUGCUUGUCAAGAUAUUUUAGGAGGCUGAGAGUGGUGGGGUCAGGUGGCAGAGGAGGAAACUGCCCUGCCAAACAGAAGCGCCCUCUCCCUCUUCCCUGUAAUGUGAGCUUCUGGGGCUGCCCCACCUGACCCCACCCUCAACAUGGGCAGUAGGCUGGACACCUAUGUUGUCGCCCUCUGCCCCACAGUGGUUUGAGCCAUCUCAGUUUGGCACUUGGUGGGCCAUCCUAUCAACCAGCAUGAACCUGG